rnacentral:rRNA from 1 species
UACGUAGGGUGCAAGCGUUGUCCGGAAUUAUUGGGGCGUAAAGAGCUCGUAGGCGGUUUGUCGCGUCGGCUGUGAAAACUCGGGGGCUCAACUCCGAGCUUGCAGUCGAUACGGGCUGACUGGAGUUCGGCAGGGGAGACUGGAAUUCCUGGUGUAGCGGUGAAAUGCGCAGAUAUCAGGAGGAACACCGGUGGCGAAGGCGGGUCUCUGGGCCGAUACUGACGCUGAGAAGCGAAAGCAUGGGGAGCGAACAGG